GGACCGUCGCCCCGUGCCCAAGCCUGUUUCCCAGCUCAAGACGCCGGGCUGUCUCUGUGCUGUGAGAAUCAGUGAAGGCAGCUCUUGGCAAGACAUCGUGACCCUAAAUUGCUAAACAGGAAUUCCACACCAUGCUUGGCUUCAACUUGGUCUUUAUUCGAAGCUAGAAGAUGGCAGCCAAACAGGGCACCUCCCUCCAGCCCUGUCAUCUCACGGCUCCAGGACCCGCUCCUCCUUCCCCCGACAGCGGCCCGACGGGGUCUCUGAUGCUCACACGAGGCGGCCUGGCACAGACGCGCCUUGCCCUCGGCAGAGAGCGUAUCGCUCAGGACUCGUCUAGUGACCCUUCUUCCUCCCCUGCUUGACUGGAGGCACCCCAAGCGUUCACCAGCCUGUACUCAGGGCCUGCGUCCUGCCGGGUGUCAUGUGCUCAGUAAAUACCUGUCCUCUGGACGGAGAAGCGUAAGGCCGCGUGACUGGAUGGGCAGACACGCUGGAGGCUGAUGGCUGAGAAGAUGGAUGGAUACAGGGCUGGCUGGGUGGCCGGGUGGGCGGACUGACGGCCUGGGUCGGGCUUCCAGCACCAUCA